rnacentral:rRNA from 1 species
UGCCAGCAGCCGCGGUAAUACGUAGGGGGCAAGCGUUAUCCGGAAUCACUGGGUGUAAAGGGUCCGCAGGCGGUCUUUUAAGUCAGAGGUGAAAGCCUACAGCUCAACUGUAGAACGGCCUUUGAUACUGAAAGACUUGAGUUAUUGUGAAGUGGUUAGAAUGUGUGGUGUAGCGGUGAAAUGCAUAGAUAUCACACAGAAUACCGAUUGCGAAGGCAGAUCACUAACAAUAUACUGACGCUCAUGGACGAAAGCGUGGGGAGCGAACAGGAUUAGAUA